rfam:Cavia porcellus supercont2_124 genomic scaffold, whole genome shotgun sequence.
GGGGAUUUAGCUCAGCGGCAUAAGCGCCUGCCUUGCAAGCAGACGGUCGUGAGUUCAAUCCCUG